AACGAACGCUGGCGGCAGGCCUAACACAUGCAAGUCGAGCGAGACCUUCGGGUCUAGCGGCGGACGGGUUAGUAACGCGUGGGAACGUGCCCUUCUCUGCGGAAUAGCCACUGGAAACGGUGAGUAAUACCGCAUACGCCCUUCGGGGGAAAGAUUUAUCGGAGAAGGAUCGGCCCGCGUUAGAUUAGAUAGUUGGUGGGUAACGGCCUACCAAGUCUACGAUCUAUAGCUGGUUUUAGAGGAUGAUCAGCAACACUGGGACUGAGGCACGGCCCAGACUCCUACGGGAGGCAGCAGUGGGGAAUCUUAGACAAUGGGCGCAAGCCUGAUCUAGCCAUGCCGCGUGUGUGAUGAAGGUCUUAGGAUCGUAAAGCACUUUCGCCAGGGAUGAUAAUGACAGUACCUGGUAAAGAAACCCCGGCUAACUCCGUG
rnacentral:rRNA from 1 species